GACGAACGCUGGCGGCGUGCUUAACACAUGCAAGUCGAACGAAGUGGCGAACGGGUGAGUACUACGUGGGUAACCUGCCCUCCUUUUUGGGAUAAGCCUUGGAAACGGGGUCUAAUACCGACUAAAGGCGGAUGGGCACCCGGCCUAUCAGCUUGUUGGUGGGGUGAUGGCCUACCAAGGCGGUGAGGGGUAGCAGGCCUGAGAGGGUGACCGGCCACAUGGGGACUGAGAGACGGCCAAGAGUCCUACGGGAGGGAGCAGUGGGGGAGAGUGCACAAGGGGCGAAAGCCUGAUGCAGAGACGCCGCGUGGGGGAUGAAGGCUUUCGGGUUGUAAACCUGUGUCGCAAGCGAACGGGUAGGUGGAGAAGAAGCGCCGGCUAACUACGUGCCAGCAGCCGCGGUAAUUC
rnacentral:rRNA from 1 species